rnacentral:misc_RNA from 1 species
UAAGAAAACCCAGCUAUCCAACACUCUCUCGAAAACAUUUAUCUUCACCAUGUCUCUGCUGUUUAUUUCAUUGAACACCUGGCAAAACACGAAGGUAUUAAAUAUGAAAGUGUUGAGGAUGUCAGUUGCAUCUGAACCUGUAAGCUUUAAAAGGCGUUUCCCAUUAAACUGGAGAAUUACAAGGACAACAAUUUGGAAGAUGCUCUGUCCAAUAAUAUUUCUCCACAUUAGCUUUGUGAUGAAAUAUACAUUCCUGCCUAUUGGAGGUCUUUUCAUGAGUGCAUCAUUGGG